UUCAUAUUAUUUAAUUUAUUUUGUUAUACACAUUCCUUCAUCAAGUGUUCAUGUGGAGUGUUCAGAUAACUGUUAGUUAUACAGGUAUGAUAGAUAUACAAGGACAGUAACACUGGAUAACAUGCUACUGUUCCAAUGGUCCUAACCACAGCACAACGACACUCUUACUGAUUGGUUAGCCGUGAGGUUGCCGCGCUGACGUCACUACACUACUGUGUAUGAUUGGAGGAGAGAGGGAACUCAAGCGGUGUGAUGUCGCGGAACUACAGAUUGCCAGUGGCCACCAACCCUAGAAGACCAUCAGUCCCAGAUUGCCCAUUUAAACCAGUGGCCACCAACCCUAGAAGAACAUCAGUCCCAGAUUGCCCAUUUAAACCAGUGGCCACCAACCCUAGAAGAACAUCAGUCCCAGAUUGCCCAUUUAAACCAGUGGCCACCAACCCUAGAAGAACAUCAGUCCCAGAUUGCCCAUUUAAACCAGUGGCCACCAACCCUAGAAUACCAUCACUACAAGCUGUGCAGGCUUUGGUUCCAGCCCUGCACUAACCCACCUAAUUUUGACUAAUCCACUUGAUUAGCUAUAUUCAAAGUGUGUUGGUGGUAGUCAGGAACAAUAUCCUGCAUAGUCUCACUACAUAGCUAGGACUCUAUGUAAGGGUUGACCACUGAGAUAACUAGGUUACAGACAGACACAGACAGACAGACAUGAGAAUACGAUCAACCUAGUAUUCCCUUUAUAGGGCACCAUUUCUGACCAGAGCCUUAUGGUCCCAUGUCAAAAGUAGUGCACUAUAUAGGGAAAAAGGUCAAUGUGGGCCUGUAUGAGUGGAUGGAUGGAAGCACAAGUGAUUUAGUAGCUUGGGGUAGAAGUUGCUCUUAGGCACAGAUCUAGGAUCAGCUUGUCCAGGUGUCACCAGGUGUCUAGAUUAAUCCAGAUGGGUCACCAGGUGUCUAGAUUAAUCCAGAUGGGUCACCAGGUGUCUAGAUUAAUCCAGAUGGGUCACCAGGUGUCUAGAUUAAUCCAGAUGGGUCACCAGGUGUCUAGAUUAAUCCAGAUGGGUCACCAGGUGUCUAGAUUAAUCCAGAUGGGUCACCAGGUGUCUAGAUAAAUCCAGAUGGGUCACCAGGUGUCUAGAUGGGUCACCAGGUGUCUAGAUUAAUCCAGAUGGGUCACCAGGUGUCUAGAUUAAUCCAGAUGGGUCACCAGGUGUCUAGAUUAAUCCAGAUGGGUCACCAGGUGUCUAGAUGGGUCACCAGGUGUCUAGAUUAAUCCAGAUGGGUCACCAGGUGUCUAGAUGUGUCCAGAUGGGUCACCAGGUGUCUAGAUUAAUCCAGAUGAGUCACCAGGUGUCCAGAUGGGUCACACCAGGUGUCUAGAUUAAUCCAGAUGGGUCACCAGGUGUCUAGAUUAAUCCAGAUGAGUCACCAGGUGUCUAGAUGUGUCCAGAAGAGUCACCAGGUGUCUAGAUUAAUCCAGAUGGGUCACCAGGUGUCUAGAUGGGUCACCAGGUGUCUAGAUGUGUCCAAGUGUCACCAGGUGUCUAGAUUAAUCCAGAUGGGUCACCAGGUGUCUAGAUUAAUCCAGAUGAGUCACCAGGUGUCUAGAUUAAUCCAGAUGUGUCACCAGGUGUCUAGAUGUGUCCAGAUGGGUCACCAGGUGUCUAGAUUAAUCCAGAUGGGUCACCAGGUGUCCAGAUGGGUCACCAGGUGUCUAGAUAAAUCCAGAUGGGUCACCAGGUGUCUAGAUUAAUCCAGAUGGGUCACCAGGUGUCUAGAUUAAUCCAAAUGGGUCACCAGGUGUCUAGAUGUGUCCAGAUGGGUCACCAGGUGUCUAGAUUAAUCCAGAUGGGUCACCAGGUGUCUAGAUUAAUCCAGAUGGGUCACCAGGUGUCUAGAUGUGUCCAGAUGGGUCACCAGGUGUCUAGAUUAAUCCAGAUGGGUCACCAGGUGUCCAGAUGGGUCACCAGGUGUCUAGAUAAAUCCAGAUGAGUCACUAGGUGUCUAGAGGUGUCCAGAUGGGUCACCAGGUGUCUAGAUUAAUCCAGAUGGGUCACCAGGUGUCUAGAUUAAUCCAGAUGGGUCACUAGGUGUCUAGAUUAAUCCAGAUGGGUCACCAGGUGUCCAGAUGGGUCACCAGGUGUCUAGAUAAAUCCAGAUGAGUCACUAGGUGUCUAGAGGUGUCCAGAUGGGUCACCAGGUGUCUAGAUUAAUCCAGAUGGGUCACCAGGUGUCUAGAUUAAUCCAGAUGGGUCACCAGGUGUCUAGAUUAAUCCAGAUGGGUCACCAGGUGUCUAGAUGUGUCCAGAUGGGUCACCAGGUGUCUAGAUUAAUCCAGAUGGGUCACCAGGUGUCCAGAUGGGUCACCAGGUGUCUAGAUUAAUCCAGAUGGGUCACCAGGUGUCUAGAUUAAUCCAGAUGGGUCACCAGGUGUCUAGAUGGGUCACCAGGUGUCUAGAUUAAUCCAGAUGGGUCACCAGGUGUCUAGAUGUGUCCACUCUCACCAGCUGUGUGUAAAGGUGUCCAGAAGUGUCCACUCUCACCAGGUGUCCAGAAGUGUCCACUCUCACCAGGUGUCCAGAAGUGUCCACUCUCACCAGGUGUCCAGAAGUGUCAACUCUCACCAGGUGUGUGUAAAGGUGUCCAGAAGUGUCCACUCUCACCAGCUGUGUGUAAAGGUGUCCUGUGUAUCCAGGUGUGCUAAGGUGUUGUGAUCAUAAAGGGAAUCCGUUAAACGGGACGUCUAGUGACUGUU